rnacentral:lncRNA from 1 species
UGGAACAUUAGCUGAGAUCAAGAGAAUAGUUCAUGGUUCACAAGCCAGUGCCUGACAUUUCUCAGCUGAGACUCUUCUCUCUGGAUGAUGAACAAGAUGUUUCUUUUCUCUGUUGAAUGCUGAGCCAAGCUGAGAUGUUUUCUUGAAUUCUCUGGCCACCCUAGAUGUCAGCUCUUGUCUAAAUCUGCUGAUGUAGCCUGAGCUUAGGAGGAGCAGCAACUGCCCAGAAUUCCCUGGCUUUCUCAGCAGUCCUCAGUGUCUACUAAGCUGACUCUCUUGCCUCUUUGAUUGCCUUCCAUCUGGUCUCCUAGGUUUGCCUCUCAUGAAGUCAGCAGUCUGGAUGGGGAACCCCUGCGGUCUCUAUGUGCAUGGCAAGGGGUACACUUGCUAACUCCCUGGGAAUACAUCCAUCACUUUCGUCAGCCACAGCAAGUGUAGACAGUCAUUGAACACUGUUACACAGAAGGCAGCAUCCUGACUAAAUGGUCCCAAGAGGUAGAAGUCUUCUCUUUCCACCAGGUUCCUGGCUGGAAGCAGAUGUUUUAUGGAAGUCAGUCAGCAUCCAGAGAGUCAGCAACAUUUGUUUGGACUCAUUGCACGUCUGUCUCUGUGGUAGGAAGACAGCAUUUCAAUGUAGAAAAGCUAAUGAUCUUCGUCAGAAUCUCUGAUUAUUUCCUGAGUAUUGACUCCUAGAAGUGGGUUUAUUUUUCCAAGGGGUAAGAACUCUGAAGGCUUUUGACUGACACAUAUUGCCAUAUUGCUUUCCAAAAAAGUUGUGCUGAUACACAUGUACACUCACUGCUGUUGAUUUUGCCCGCUUUGUCAAACCAUUGCCAUUACUAGAUAGUAUUAAAAGUUUUUAUAAAUACAGGAGAGAGGCAAAAAUGACAUUUCUUUGAUUAAAUGUUUAUUUUUUAUUUAUGGGAAGGUUGAUGAUUUAAAAAUAUUUGUUGGUUUGCCACAGGGAGAAUAUAUGGUGUCUUCUCCAAAGUGGGUCUGAAGGAAUAUUAAUUAACUAGCUUGCUAUUUGGGGGGAUGGAUUUUGUUAUUUGUUUUUAAAUUUUAGUACAGUGAAAUUUGUAUUCAUUGUAUAGUGUUGUGCUUUUUGACAUAAACAUAGAAUUGUGUAACCACUGAUAAAAUCAGAAUAUAAAAGGUCCCUCAAAUUCCCUCUUUGUAGUCAACCCUCUACCAACAUUUG